rnacentral:tRNA from 1 species
UCCCUGGUGGCUCAGAUGGUAAAGCGUCUGCCUGCAAUGCGGGAGACCCGGGUUUGAUUCCUGAGUUGGGAA